GGGGAGAGUGAGUCAUAGGCUCCAGCCCGCUGCUAAAGGAUCCGUCCGUGGCGAGGCCCGGGGUCCUGGGAUUGGGAGCUGGUUCUGAAAGGCUAGGGUCAGAAAGAAAAAUGUUCCUGUACACGCACCCAGAGGCUUUUGCAGGAGGCGGCUAUUGGUGAACCAGGAAAACAAGCCAAGAAACAAGAGAGAGGAAAAAGACCACGCCUCGCUUGGCAGAUUCCUAAUGGCCCAGGAGACCUGAGGCUUUACAGUGGGAGGCCGGUGGGGGCUGGCUCGGGUGGGAGGGAAGGGCAGGCCGAAGGACAGCCACUUGCUGGCCAGUGACCUUGGGCGGGAUGCUGCCUGCUUCCCUCUGAGGACACUCAGGCCCAGAGAGGGCUGGUGGCCUGCCCGAGGUCACACAGCAAGUUGGAGGCUGAGCCAGGACUCACCACAAAGUCUUUGGACUCCAAGUCCAGGCCUCAUUCCCUUUCCCUGAAACUUGGCUGCCUGGGGGCUUACCCUGGGGAGUUGGAGAGACCCAGGGUUAGGGAGGAUAGUUGGGAGCUGUGUCUGUUUGAAGUCACGACUUAAUGUUGAUUAAAGUGCCUUUAUUUUUUUAUUUAUUUUUUUUAAACAAAAAGAACGUUCCCAGCCCUUGCCAUGAGCCUGGACUUGCUCUGCUGGCAGGGAAAGGAAUGCAGCUCUGGCCGCCACAGCUGCUGGUGGCCAGCUGCGGCCUCAGCUCCUGCCGCUCCCACCCCAGCAGGCGAAGGGACAAAGGCCUCUUCUCAGCCUGUCCCCUCCAGCCCACUGGAUCGGUGGGGGGCAGAGCCACAAUCAGGAGGCUCUGUCACUGACCAGCUAAGUCGCUGUUCCUCUCUGGGCCUCAGUGCCCUUUCUGGAAAAUGGGGGCAGAGUAUCUGCCUGACCUACUUCUCAGCACCAUUUUGAGGUUUCAAAGAGGUAAAGUUACAGAAAUACAGACCUCUCAGCACCUUCUUCUGCCUGAGGGUCAGCCUACUCAGAGACCCCUCUGCCUCAAACGCCCCUCCCUUCCUCACGCUUCACCUGGCCAGCCCCAGCUUGCUCAGCUCAGCUCAGCCGGACCAUCCCUCGCUCUGGGGAAGAAGCCCUCCCUCACCUCCAGACCGUGAUGCUCCUUCAAGGGGGCCCGGGUUUGAUCCCUGGUUGUGGAACUAGAUCCCGCAUGCAUGCUGCAACUAAGAGUCCACAUGCCGCAACUAAGAGUCCACAUGCCGCAACUAAAAGAUCCUGCGUGCCGCAACUAAGACCUGGCGCAGCCAAAAUAGAUAAAUAAAAAUUUUAAAAAAAGAAAGAAAGAAAGAAGUAUCCAAUGAGUAUUAGUUGUCUGUAAUUAAGUGUAAUGGGGGCAUAGAGGAGAAACCUAUUUUUUGUUGGGGAACAGGGGUCAGGAGAGGCUUCUUGGAGGAAGGGACAUCUGGAUUGGGCCCUGAAGGAUGAAGACUUCACCUGGAGAAGUGGGGGAGGGCACUCCAGGAGGAUGUACCACAGGGACGAGGGCCCAGAGACGGGGAGGAUAUGACCUGUUUGGGUGUGGCUGAGCAGAGUCAGCUGGGAGGAGUGACUGGAAAUGAGGCUGGAAAGGCGGUUUCAAGGACCUCGAGAGCCUUGCGCUGCCCUGCCGAGUCUGGACUUUAAAGGGCUGGGGACGGAGCAGGCCUUUAAGAGCUGGGAAGGGACAUGAUUGUGCCUAUUUUAGGAAGAUGACUCUUCACUGUAGUGUGGAGAGUGAACCGGAAGGGGAGAGACUGGAUGUCAGGGAGUGGAUCUGAGUGUGUGCCCCCUGUGGGUUAAAGUCCCCCAAGGGCUCCCCAGCAGCCUGCAGAUCAGGCUCUGACCUCUUACUUCCCACCUGCACACAGGCUCUCUCCUUUGCAUGUGACAUCGACAUCUUCCCCCUCGGUUUGCCCACUAAUUCCCGGUCCUCCCUCUGGUCUCCGUCUAGCCAUGCUUCCUCCUGGAAGCUGUUCUGGGCACCCCAGGUCUAGAUUAGGUCUUCCACCCUCCUCCUCGGGACGUGUAAACUUGCCCAGACUGGACUCUGGCCGAGGGCAGGGACUGUGUGGUCCUGCUCAGGCCUGAGUCCACAAGGCCCAGCAGAGCAUGCCCAGCACAUAGGGGGCGCUUACCCCACGAUUGGAGGAAUGAUUGAACCGCUGAGUGAAGGGACAAGCCCAUUAGGGGGCAGGUGUGAUAGUCAAGUGAAAAUGAUGAGGCCUGCGGUGCCUUGAGGAGAGAGAUCCAACGGGUGAAUUGACAGGACACACGAUUGAUGAGAAGUGAGCACAGGGGGAAAAGAAAGAGUUGGCGAUAACUCAGAGGUCUCUCCCUCUGAUAGCCCGAUGCCUUUAACCAAGAUAGGAAACGUGGGUGGGGGCGGAGGUGGGGAGGAGGAGAAGGCCUAGGCGGGAGAUGGGGCCCCGGUGCAGGCUGUUCCCUGGAAUGCCCUUCCUCCCUAUCUCCCCACUGGUGGGUCCCCAUCAAUGUCUGUGACUCUGUCAAAAUGUUGCUUCCUCAGAGAGGCCACUCUGACCACCCUAGGUAGGCUGGCCCCCUGUGGAUCACUCUUUACCAAUGUACCCUCUCCA